rnacentral:lncRNA from 1 species
GAAUACCAGAUUCGGCUAAGCGCUGUGCAAAACCAGCCCCCCAGGGCUGCCAGGCUGGUGCAAAAACAGAUCUUUCUCAACUUUGGGAUAACUCAUUCACAUUCCUGGUUUUCACAAUCAUUGCAAAACAGACCUCAGGAUUCUAGCAGCCAAGAUGCCGGGUAUAAUGAGCCUGGUCAGAGCUGCCUGGAAUUGCUAACGACUGCGGGUUUUUGUUUUUAAACCUAUGCCCUGGUUAGGGAAGGGAAACUUGUUGUGCAGGGUGCAGCAUCCCAAGCACAAAACGUGAUAAGAGGAAGAGUUAUGACUGCAGCCACCGCAGCGCGACUCCACUUUGGGGCUCUGCCAGAGUUCCCAUAAAACCCGCCUUUUUCUGGAGUCUACACCAUGCGCUCUUAUGUCAUCAAUUUAAGAGGCUUUUAUGAGAUGCCAGAGCAUGUUACUUAAAGCAUUCUCAUUUAUUUUGCCCUUAUGCUUUUAUUACAUAGAAUUUGAAUUAAAUCCAUUUGGCAAUGUUUUGCGGUGGAGGGAGGCAGGGGUCUGUCAGGAGGAGGAAAGGAAUUUGUUAGUGAGGGGAAAGCUCCUUUAGACCCCAGGGAGGGAACAGAAGUAAAUGUGCCCCGGGGUGGGAAGCGCGCCCUCCCCACAACUCGGUGAGAUGUGGAAAGUUCCUCACGCUUCACUAGGGCUUCCCUCCCUCCUACAAUCUGUGGUAGUUUUUCUAAAGGCUACUUCUGCCCUCCAUUGUUCUGUUCAAAACCCUCCAGCAACAUCACAUUGCUCUCAGAAUAAAACUCAGAUUCCACAUUUGAUAUUUUUCAUCACCUAAGAUCUGGCCUCAGUCUGCAUCUACACUUUAGAUUCUUUCCUUUUCUUCUCACUCUCCAGCUAAACACCAACUGCUACCUGUCGGUCAAGGGGGCAAGGGCCAGACAAAAUAUCACCUUGGCCUCAACAUUUCACAUUAUCCUUCCAGAAGGAAGUGGUUGGUUUCUUCUCUGAAUGCCUAUGGUGUUUUAUUGGUACAUCUUGAUGACAAUGAUCACUUUUUAUCUUGAUUUCUACAGUGCAUGCUUUUUUUCAAAAUUUUAAGUCUAGAACAACAGCUUCAUGAAUGUUCUAUCUUUGGAUCACUCUCAGCACGUAGCACAAUGAGUUGAACGUCAACCGCAUCCAAUGAAUAUCUGUUGAAUGGUUAUGUAUAUGCUGACCCCAGGAGGAAAUUUCUGAAUUAAGAAGCAUUUGUCACUUACCUAUGAGUAGGUCUUAAGUGUUUCUUUUAGAGGCUCCUCCCAGAAUCAUAUACCUCCCCCACCACCCUAAGAAAACAGGCCUGGUAACCACACAAAUCAGCCCCAUGGUUCCAUCGGUCGGCCCCACUCCAAGCUAGAGCCGCGGCCAGGCUGAUUCGCUCUGAUGUCAGAGAUCUGCAAUCAGAUGGCAUCUUGUAGAAGAUUACUAAAUACCAGGAUUGGGUUCAGCUGGUCACAAUAAAGAGGCUCCUACUCAGCCAGCACUAUUAAAACAGAGUCCAUCCUGAGAUCUUCAUGGAGCUAUAAUCAGGCCAAGCCCCUCGGGGACACCCCUGGAUCUGGGGACCUUCAUUCUGGCCCUUCACCUUGGUCAGACAUGGCCACACACCUCUCAUCUGCUUCUUUAUGUUGGGCCAUGGGCAGGCCCUUCCAUCCAGGCAAGUUCUCCCCAUGUCCAACUCGACUGCAGGACCAUUCAGCUGGGGAUCUUGCAACUAGCAGCCUUCUCCACCCCAGUGCCAGCUGCAGCCCAUCCCAGAAGGACCUUGCUUCCUGGGGCAGCUACAGCACGAGGAAGCAAUCUAAAUGGCUGAUUUCCAAAGAGGUGCAUGAGAGAGAAGCUUUCUAAGGAUGGAAUUUCUGGAUCCACAACAAGGUGAUAAGAUAUUCUUAGGUGGGGUAUGUAAUAUCGUUUUAUUUAAUUUGCGCAACAACUUCUGAGAUAAUAAAUGCUUUUAUCCUUGCUUUACAAAUGGGGAAACUGAGGCACAGCAAAAUUAAUCAAUUUGCCCAACAUCAAAAUUGGGUAAGCGGAAGAGACAACAUCCCAACCUGGGUCCUGAAGCAGUAGCUACCCCAUCUCAGCACACUGAGUUGCAACGAAAAGAACAGGGAUAGAUGGGAGCGUAUCCUAUGGGACCUGCAUUUAAUCAAUGGGCCCCCUGUCUUUUUGUUUUGUUUCUUUUUCCCAUCAAGCAGACCCGGCGCCUCCUGCUCCUGAUGCUGGCCCACCCUCCCUCCCAGGCAGGCACCCCUCCUGCGUGAUAGGGGGUUCCAGUUCUUACCCUCCAUCAUCCCUCCCCCACACAGAAAAAAAUGACAGGGAAAGAAAAAUAUCUGUUUUGUGGCCUUGAAGAUUUCAUUUUAGGAGCCAAUCCUACUUCGGCACCAAGUCAGCAGAAAUUUCUGAUGAUGAUGGGGUGCUUACUUUGUCAAUUAAUUUUUAAUUUAACAUUUUUUAUUUACUUUUUUGGGGAAAAUUCUACAGUCUCCUUCACCAUCCUGUCGAUAGAUGUCUUGAGAUCUCUUUUGUGUCCCUCUUAUUAUUUUCCCUUUUAUGCUUUUUAAAAAACAUUUUUUCACCUUGUCAUUCCCUGGGGCUUGUGUUGUCCUACAGCCUCAAUGAUCACCGCUGCCCAACUACAGUUUCCACCUGAGCUCCAGCCCUCAGCCGACACCUGCCGUGGGGUUUCUCCUCUCCUCACAGCCGGGCGGGCAGGCAGCACCUCCUUUCCCAGCUCUGCUGAUGGAGGAAGACCAAAGUGGGGAGCCAGAACCUUGGAAGUCGGGUCACAGUCCUGUGUGCAGAGCCACAGCUUGGCUGAGAGGCGUUCAAUGUUUGUGUCUUUUAGACAGCUGAGAGUUUUUUAAACAAAAAUUUGAACAGUAAUUUCCAUCCCUGAUAAAGAAUUAAAUUAUAUCAAAUGCGCAUUGUUUCUAUUCUUCUGAUAAAAAGAUCCAUAGGGGUUUUGCCCCUUGCUUUUCAAGUUGAGGCUAAUUCCAUUUCAUACGUAAUCUCCUCAAAGAGAGGAAGCCUCAGCCAAUGAAAUUGGGGGCUUCCCCUGCCUCCACUCCUGCCUGGAAAGCACGUGGACUCAUCAGCCCAUGGCAGUGGGUGUGCUUUGCACUUUUCCUGUAGUGAGGGAGGAGAAGCAGAGGCCUCCCACCCCAGACCUUCGACUAAUUCGUUAUCCAACAGAUGGGGAACACCCGCUCUGUGCCAGGCGGUAUGCUGGGCACAGGGGCUAGAAAAGAGAUGCUAUUAUGGUUCUAGGAAAGAAAAAUCAUACUCCUGUUCCAUCCUCUGAGUUCAAAACCAAUAGAGAGAUGCAUUCAAGAGUCUGACAGAUGGAGAUUAAAAUAUCAGCCUUGUUAUUGGUAAAAGCUGGAUUGGAGACAGGGCUUAGAUACGCAGCCUCCUGUUGUUUCCCACACUCACCCAACCCAUUACUGCAGAGCCGAACGACCGCAGCCUCCCCCACAGGGCAAAGCAUGCCCAGGACGCUCACUGCCAGGCUGAGAGCUGAUAACCGAGCUCCUCCACAGGAGUGACACCUGAAAAAGAAAGGAAGGAUGGAGACCAACGUACCAGCACCAGGCUCUCUCCAAGCUCACCAAUUCAACUCACCAUUUACUCCUCUGCAAGGAAGGAAUGAGUGAGGAUGAAAGGAGGGCCAGGAAUGUUGUUCCGGCUGAAGCCCUUCCACCUGGAAGCACGACGCCAGGGAACCGGAGAUGCCCCCCACAAACGUGCUCCUCCCCUCAUGGAGAAGAUGGCCCAGUGGGGAGACUGGAAAAGAAUUAUCAAAUGAUACGAUAAUUGCUUUACAGAGUGGGUGGUCCCUGGGCCAAGGCCAGAAGGAUGAGCAGCCCUUGCCAGCUGGACAAGUUGCAGAAGGACCAGAAUGUGCCAAGGCUCAGAGCCUGAUAUAAAGAGGGUGGGUGCAAGACAAGGGUGGAUGUGCAGGAAGUGACAAAGGUAGACUUUGUCCUCUGGCUCUCGAAGGAGCAGCUCCCUCUACCACCAUCUGUUUACUGUCAAGGAAUAAGGGAUCGAGCGCAGGACUCAGCAGGCAGAGGCUCCCCAGGGCAAAGACUGGCUUCCUUGGUGCCUGGUUCACAUGGGCGCUCAGCACAUAUUCGUUCUUUGAGCACACACCCAUCCCUCUGGCCGCUGUCCACCCCGCGUGGAGCAGGCCACUUUUCCUUCGUGCCUGUUUCUUUUAACUGCAGAGACCCCAGUCCGAGUCACCUUCUCACUUCCCUGAGCCUCUGUUGUGAACAUUCCCGGAGUGAUGUUUGCACAAGCCUGAUGUUCUCAGAAGCAUGGCUCUCUGUAAAUACAGAGUUUUAUUAUUAGAAGACGAUGAAUUUUUAAAAUGCCAGUUCUGGCCUUUUCAUCAUGACGGAGUGGAACUCAGGUCUGCCUACACUUUGCUCCUUCAUCAGAAACCUUGCGGGUCUCAGCUCGGUGCUGAGGACAUGACUUUGGGCAGCGGUCAAGGUCACAGCCACCCAGAGGAGCCAGGGAGAUCCUGUGAAUGAUGGAGGCUGCCCAGCUCAAGCAUGGCCACCCAACUCUUGGGAAUGUUCAGGAAUUCAGGUCCAGCAUGGCUUGUCAAGAGAAGGCAGAAAUCUGUAUUUUAUGUAAAAUCUCCUGAAUUUUAAACAUUUGCCUCAAAAUCCAAAAUUAAAAAAGAAUGGUAUGAAGGCCUAACAUGACACAGCUGUGGGCUGAAUGUGCUCCCCUCCUGCCGCCCACUGCCCUCUGGCUUCUGAUCGGUGGCAGCUCUGCCCCUAGUGGCAGGUUUCCAUAGCUGGCCCCUAUUGCUGAAAGGUGAGCUCAGGUCUCGAGGAAGUGACCUGGGUCACCCAGGGGAGGGCAAUGUCUGUGCUGUGCAUAAUAUUUUAAACUAUGGUUCUUAACAUUUUCAGCUUUACACUAAUUUUUCCUUUAAUGUUUCCAGUCGGAGGGCUUGCCCUGGUUGAGGUUGAUGUCCUCUGCACUGAUUCUUACCCAGAUGGGGAGACUGUGGGAUGAGGCACACAGAGCAGAGCCUGUGCCGUCACACAGGUCUUGGUUCAAAUCUUGGUUCUACCCUUUAUAGGCUGUGUGAUUUGGGCAAGUUGCUUAACCUUUCUGGACCUCUUCUGCAAAAGAGGGAUGGUCCUAAUCCCUAUUUCAAAGGACACCUGCGAGAGAGACUUCAGGGAAAGCAUCGAGGACCCUCUCUGGCAGAGUGAAACCCCAGAUACAGGGUUCCCUUCCCCUCAGUGCCUCCACUCCCAACGUAGAGUCCCAGGGGAUGUGGAAAGCCAGGUGGGCACUUCCGGGGAGAGAAAAAUAAGGAGACCAGAAUCAGCUAGCAUUUUGGAUGCAUCCUUAAUUCUCAGCAAGUUGUUGAUCUAACUGGGAAACAACUUGCCACGUGCUUAACUGGCCUCCUUUAGUAAUGGGAUCAAAUACGCUUUCAGGAUGAAGUCUGGGGCAUGGAGUCCUCUUCAGCUCUCGGCGGUUGCCCUCGGGCCCUGCAUGGGUAUAGAGUGAUUCAUUCUCUCGGGUGGAGAUCAUCUCCCUGCCUCCUCCUGGGCUGGCGCCAGAGAUGGUGGUGUGACUCCCUCCCAUGGUUUAUCAUUCCAUCUCAUUUCUCAGUUAUCUGUGGAUGGGUCUCUCCCCCAUGAGAUUGGAAGCCAGUGGCGGGGAGGGUUGGACGGCGGGCAGAGUCUCUGUCACAUUCAUCCUCGCGUCUCCUUCUUCCUCCAUCAACCUGGUGGCUGCCAAGUAGUGCUAAAAAAAACCCCAAACAAAACAAAACAAAACAAACUCUGCUAAUUAAGGACUAGGCCAAGAAGCAUUCCGACUGCAGUGCCUACAUUCUCUGCUAAUCCCAUUGUAGCUUUGGUCUAUUGAUAGUUUUCAUAUCCUUUUCCACUUUACAGCUUUCAAUGGUAUCAACUAACGCUCCACCACAGAAUUGUCGUCUGUCUCCCUCAUUACGUUAGAGAGUCUUUGGGUGACC